GAUGAAUGCUGGCGGCGUGCUUAACACAUGCAAGUCGAACGAAGCACCUUGAUUUGAUUCUUCGGAUGAAGAUCUUGGUGACUGAGUGGCGGACGGGUGAGUAACGCGUGGGUAACCUGCCUCAUACAGGGGGAUAACAGUUAGAAAUGACUGCUAAUACCGCAUAAGACCACAGUACCGCAUGGUACAGGGGUAAAAACUCCGGUGGUAUGAGAUGGACCCGCGUCUGAUUAGGUAGUUGGUGGGGUAACGGCCUACCAAGCCGACGAUCAGUAGCCGACCUGAGAGGGUGACCGGCCACAUUGGGACUGAGACACGGCCCAAACUCCUACGGGAGGCAGCAGUGGGGAAUAUUGCACAAUGGGGGAAACCCUGAUGCAGCGACGCCGCGUGAGCGAUGAAGUAUUUCGGUAUGUAAAGCUCUAUCAGCAGGGAAGAAAAUGACGGUACCUGACUAAGAAGCACCGGCUAAAUACGUGCCAGCAGCCGCCGUAA
rnacentral:rRNA from 1 species